AAAGAACAAAGUAAUGGAGGCAGAAACAAACUUUGUUAAUCAUCAAUUGAAUAUUGUUGAUGAUUCACCAAUGACCAACAAUGAGGAAAAGGUUGAUGAUAUUACUGAACCUUCUGAAAGUAUCUUUUGGGAUAUCGUUUAAUUUCUUGUUUUAAUUAAACAUCUUGCAUGUAUAAUAUUAUUAGUUUUCAUUCUAUAUGUGAUAUGUGUUUCUCAUGAAUAAAAUUAUAUUUGAAAUGUAACUUUUCUUAUUUAUGUUUUUAUAUGUGUCAGACCAUCUUUAAUGGAUAUGGAGG
rnacentral:lncRNA from 1 species